UUGAACAUGAUGGACUGUAGGACAGGACUGCUGCUCUUAACUAUCUGCUGGGCAGGUGUUUGGGGUCAGACUCUGAUAGAAUCUGACCCGGCAGUAAAAAGACCUGGAGAAUCCCACAGACUGACCUGUACAACAUCUGGAUUCUCCUUCAGUGGCUCUCACAUGGCCUGGAUCAGACAGGCUCCUGGAAAAGGACUGGAGUGGAUCGCUUGGAUUCAGAGGGAUAGCAGUAACAUCUUCUAUUCCCAGUCAGUCCAAGGUCGUUUCACCAUCUCCAGAGACAACGGCAGAAACCAGCUGUAUCUGCAGAUGAACAGUCUGAAAACUGAAGAUUCUGCUGUUUAUUAUUGUGCACGAGAGACACAGUGACUGGAGUUAGUGAAUCAGCUGUACAAAAUCCUCAAAAACAAUGUUGUUGUUACUUUAUAUGAACACUAGUGGGUUGUGGAUAUCAAGUUGCUGUUUCCUGCAUCCACAGAUAUUCUAAUCAAUCCCAUUAUUAGGAAUUUAUACUGGAAUGAGUGAUUAGUGAAAAUAAAUGAUCAAAUGUUCAAGUUUAUUUU